rnacentral:lncRNA from 1 species
GCGUUUAACAUUUUUAUUUUUAACUCCGCUUUGGUAGUACAAAAGUCAUAAAAGUACAAACCAGACAGUUAAAAAUACACUUGACACUCGAAAUGGUGAAAAUUUUCCUUACAAAUUUUUACAUCAAGGUAGUAGCCAACUCAUUGAUGACACCAAAAAGUUGUCCAUCAUUAGUGUUUUCUAGAGAAAGUCUGUUGUGGAUUCCCUCAUCCUUAGAAAGGAGGAGGAGUAACACAAGACCUGUAAACAUCAGUUGCUUUGGGAACACAGGAAUUCUCAUCAGAUAGUUCAGUAUAAACCAGUAAAAAGCGUAUGUGUUGAAAAUACUGAACGCUUAAUUUUGGCAAAUUUGGAAGCCUGCCAGACAAAAACCGCUCAAGUAUUUAUUAGAAAAUAUUUAAAACAUACUCUUGGUAUCAAUACAGUUUUAAAUAUUUUUGAGUAUUCUCUUGCCUGUUGUAUUGCUAUUUAAAAAAAAGUGCUCUGACUUGAAUAAGAUGGAAAAAUAAUUAAAGCUAAAGAAUAUCUUACAUUUUAUCCCCCACCAUUUUGAGGGCAUAUUUUUAAAGCAAAAAAGUAUGCUUAUUUGUUUUUAAUUAAAAUGAUUAGCCUAGACUGCACAUAUAUUAUUUACACUAAUACAUACCCCUAAAAGUCCUAUAUUGCUACUUUCUGGAUCUCAGUGAAAUUUAUUUCCAUACUGACUUUCUCCAGUCCACAGUGUAUAUGAAUAUGUACACAUACAGUGUUUAUUAGUUGUCAGUAAAAAUUCUCAUGAAACUAAAUUCCCCAUUUAUUUAAAAGGUUAGAAAUGUUUAGUUUGAUGCUGGAAAUAAAAUCAUUGAAGUCUAUGUACAGUAAAUACUUUGAAGUAUAUUUUUAUGGAAAUCAUCUUUUGGGAGACAAAUGAAAGAUGUGCAUUUUCCUAUAUGAAAUAAAAGAAGUGCUCAAGGCACCCCCCAACACUGACAUGGAGGCGGGUCUUGGAGACCUUGUAACUGGCCUCCCCCACAGCUCACCCCAGAGCUACCAUAAAUCAUGUAAUACUAUUUAUGCCUCUGGGUCCUUUCAGGUGUUUUGUAAAAUGUACAGUUAUAAAAAAAAAAAAGAAAAAGAAAAGUUUGCCAGGCCUAAAGGGAAAAGUAACUGGAGUGUUUUAAAUAAUGAGCAUUAGUUACAGGAUGAAAAACAGGAAAUACACAAAGAAAAACAUGCCAGAGGUAGGUGCAGGCCCAUCUUAUAUGAGAAGCAGGGUUCUAGGCCGGGCGCAGUGGCUCAAGCCUGUAAUCCCAGAACUUUGGGAGGCCGAGGCGGGUGGAUCACGAGGUCAGGAGAUCGAGACCAUCUUCGCUAAUGCGGUGAAACCCCGUCUCUCCUAAAAAUACAAAAAAAAUAAGCCAAGCGUGGUGGUGGGCACCUGUAGUCCCAGCUACUCAGGAGGCCGAGGCGGGUAGAUCGCCUGAGGUCAGGAGUUCAAGACCAGCCUGACCAAUAUAGUGAUACCCCGUCUCUACUAAAAAUACAAAAAUUAGUCGAGCGUGGUGGUGCAUGCCUGUAAUCCCAGCUACUUGGGAGGCUGAGGCAGGAGUUAAUGCUGAAUUUGUGGUCAAGGAAUCCAAAGUCUAGCAUCUGGUCCCAUCUGACUCCAUGGUCCCUUGGGGAAUCAACUCCUCAGGGCUAACUAGAUUAUUUCCACUGAGCUUUUACCACUGAAGAUUCAUCUUUUAUCUUUUGUAACAGCUAACCUGUAUGUAUCAAGAUCUUCUUACAACCAGUGUCAAAAUAGGAUGCAGGAACUGGAAAAAGAAACACACACUCACGUGCACACAUGCAUACACAUAUACACACACACCCCUGAGCAUAAGCUCAGACUGUACAUGAAUAGUAUCACUGCACAUACUCAUCAUAAUGGAAAAACUACAGUGUGUACACCAAGGCCUGGGAUUAGGGGCUGGGAAGAGUAGAGGCUGGGAGUGGUUAAGAAGAUAAAAACAGCUCUUUCCUUCCCUGGAAGUAUAAUAAAAUUUUCAACAGACUCUUUCAACCAAAACUUG